rnacentral:lncRNA from 1 species
UAUAACAGUUUUAUGGUCUGCAAAAUACAAUCAUAGACAGAACCCAACAUGGCGAGCUUGAAAAGCUUUUAUUUUGCGGAUAAAUCGCAAUCCUACUCCUGCAAACAGCACAACGAAACCACCAAAUGCUUGGCAGAGCAGACACUUCCAUGAGAAGAUAUUUGAGGAUGCUGAAAGUGCUGCCCAACCCUCAAUAAUCUGCAAACCACAGUUUUUUCUCCUAAGCGACACUGACAAGCUAUAAAAGAAUAGCAGUAGUUAGCAAUCACCCUUCUUAUUCUGCCCUGGACUGGCCAGCACGGGAUGACAAGAUGAUGCCAACAAUAAGGCCAUACAGCGCCAACGCUUCAGCAAAGAUGAGGAUAAGGAUCAUUCCAACAAAAAGUUUAGGCUGUUGAGCAUUAGCUCUGUGAAAAAAACAGCAAAACGUAUCAGAAUGGAUUGUGAAUCAAAUGAUUAUUCUCCCUAAACAGCAAUCUUGCAAGUACAAGAGAUAUUACACAAGAACAGAAAAUUUGCCUGUGCAAGUACCAUGCAGUCUCAUCCAAGAAUUCUCAUGGUCUUAAAUUUACAGAAAAACAUCCAGACAUUGUAAGGUUUGCGCAGCAAAACUAGACAACAAAUCUCAAAGAUUUAAGAACCACUGCAUCAUAUCAAGGAGAUAAAAGUUGCACCCAGAUCAUAAGUUAAAAAACUGAAGAACAGGACAGCACCCCAGCUACAAAACUAAAUAACAAUGUACCACGCUUGUCAAAAAUAAAUACAGGUUGAGACACAUUAACCAUACCAACACU